rnacentral:ncRNA from 2 species
GAAAGUCCCGUACACGAAGAUGCGUUAUGUGGAAGCUUAUAGAGUAGGGCGGGACACGUGAUAUCCUGUCUGAAGAUGGGGGGACCAUCCUCCAAGGCUAAAUACUCCUGAUUGACCGAUAGUGAACCAGUACCGUGAGGGAAAGGCGAAAAGAACCCCGGGAGGGGAGUGAAAUAGAUCCUGAAACCGUGUACGUACAAUCAGUGGGAGCUGUUACCGUUGGGUAAUAGUGACUGCGUACCUUUUGUAUAAUGGGUCAGCGACUUAUAUUCUGUAGCAAGGUUAACCGAAUAGGGGAGCCGAAGGGAAACCGAGUAUUAACUGUGCGUUAAGUUGCAGGGUAUAGACCCGAAACCCGGUGAUCUAGCCAUGGGCAGGUUGAAGGUUGGUUAACACUAACUGGAGGACCGAACCGACUAAUGUUGAAAAAUUAGCGGAUGACCUGUGGCUGGGGG